AUGCAGAUGCCGUCCUCCGCGCUGUACGGGGAGGCGGACACCGGGAAGCGCCAGACGGUGUGGAUGAGCCACGGCGACGAGGUGGUCAAGCUCCCGCAGGGGUUUGAGGUGGUUGCACGCAGCGUUACACAUUCGCCCCAAGGAAUGGAAACACUUCGUCUCUUUCUCUUUGAUGUAUGUGGAAUCAAAGCUGAUUGGAAGAUGCAAGAUGUGCUGGAUGAAGAAAUCAAGACCAUCCAAACCAUGGUUGGCCCUGAUGAGCAUGUUGUCUGUGCUUUGUCAGGUGGAGUCGAUUCAACUGUUGCUGCCACUCUUGUUCACAAGGCAAUCGGAGAUAGGCUUCAUUGUGUUUUUGUUGACAAUGGUCUCUUAAGUACAUGUGUUGAUGCCUCAGAGCAAUUUCUCAGCAAGUUGAAGGGUGUCGAAGACCCAGAGCAGAAAAGAAAGAUUAUUGGCAGGGAAUUCAUAGCUGUUUUUGAUGAUUUUGGUCACAAGCUGGAACAGAAGAUUGGGAAAAGGCCUGAGUUUUUAGUUCAAGGGACAUUGUACCCUGAUGUAAUUGAAUCAUGCCCACCUCCUGGGAGUGGAAGGACACAUUCCCAUACCAUCAAAGCCAUCACAAUGUUGGUGGACUUCAAAAGAUAUGAAGUGCGGAAGUUGGGGAGUAUUUUGAAUGUCCCAGAUUCAUUUUUAAAGCGACACCCAUUUCCUGGGCCUGGUCUUGCUGUACGUGUCCUAGGUGAUGUUACACGCUUUGGACACUCUUCGUCAGCUUUUGCUGUGUUCUUACCAGUACAGACAGUUGGGGUUCAGGGUGACCAGCGAACCCACUCCAAUGCUGUUGUCUUAAGGGCAAUCACCAGUGAGGAUGGCAUGACUGCAGAUUGGUACUAUUUUGGCCAUGAAUUCCUAGUAGAUGUGGUCAACAAGAUCUGCAACAACGUGCGUGGCAUCAACCGUGUUUGCCAGGACAUCACAUCAUAG
rnacentral:rRNA from 1 species